rfam:Lupinus angustifolius cultivar Tanjil contig_4178, whole genome shotgun sequence.
AGGUGCACUCAUACCAGCACUAAUGCACCAGAUCCCAUUAGAACUCCGAAGGUAAGCGUGCUUAGGCGAAAGUACUACUAGGAUGGAUGACCUCCUGGGAAGUCCUUGUGCUGCACCUC